AGAGAUAUUUUAAAGCUAUCACAUGGAAUCCUGAUCGUUUGAUUGGAUUCGACGAGAAACCAUCCUAGCGGUUAAAUCGCACUCUGCGCGAGGGAGAAUCUCUAUCACAACACACAAAAACCGUUAGAUUGUAAUCUGCAUGAGAUAGCCUCCUAAUCAUCGGAUCAGCAAACCCAUACGAUCAUGGUCGUCCAUCAAUAGCACAAUAAGGACGGGCCAUGGCUUUUGGAUUGGCUUGGGCAGGAAAUGCCCAGAGCGUAUGUGCAGAUCGCCACAUACAC
rnacentral:lncRNA from 1 species